GUGAAGAAGAGAGUUUAUGUAUGCCCAGAGCCAAGCUGCUUGCACCAUGACCCUUGUCACGCUUUAGGCGAUCUCGUUGGGAUAAAAAAGCACUUUAGAAGGAAACACAGCAAUCACAAGCAGUGGGUUUGUGAGAAAUGCUCUAAAGGUUAUGCUGUCCAAUCUGCCCACCUCAAGACUUGCGGCACAAGAGGCCACUCUUGCGACUGUGGCCGUGUCUUUUCCAGGGUGGAGAGUUUCAUAGAGCAUCAAGACGCUUGCACAGUAAGGCGAGGCCAACCUGAGCUACAGGCGUUGCAGCCGGCAUGCUCUUCUAGAACUGCUUCAAGCACAAGCCCUUCGAGUGAUGCCAAUUUUAACAUCGCCCCAUUACAAGGAUUGCCAAUACCAAAACCAUCUGAACCUGUUUUCUUAUACUCAUCAUCUGAUAGAUAUGAUGCUUCUACUUCUAGUCAGCAAGAGUACAAUCUUGAACUUCAACUCCUGCCAUCAUCCACCACUACUCGCUUAUCACAAAAUCCUGAUGAACGCUACCCUACAAAUUUGAAGCUUUCAAUAGG
rnacentral:misc_RNA from 1 species